rnacentral:rRNA from 1 species
GACGAACGCUGGCGGCACGCCUAACACAUGCAAGUCGAGCGGAGAUUGAGAGCUUGCUCUCAUGAUCAGCGGCGGACGGGUGAGUAACACGUGAGCAACCUGCCUUUCAGAGGGGGACAACAGUUGGAAACGACUGCUAAUACCGCAUAACAUUGCCGAACGGCAUCGUUUGGCAAUCAAAGGAGCAAUCCNCUGAAAGAUGGGCUCGCGUCUGAUUAGCUAGUUGGUGAGGUAACGGCCCACCAAGGCGACGAUCAGUAGCCGGACUGAGAGGUUGACCGGCCACAUUGGGACUGAGAUACGGCCCAGACUCCUACGGAGGCAGCAGUGGGGAAUAUUGGGCAAUGGGCGCAAGCCUGACCCAGCAACGCCGCGUGAAGGAAGAAGGCCUUCGGGUUGUAAACGUUCUUUUACCAGGGACGAAGGACGUGACGGUACCUGGAGAAAAGCAACGGCUAACUACGUG